UACGUACGAGGCGAGCGUUAUCCGGAAUUACUGGGCGUAAAGCGCGCGCAGGUGGUUCGUUAAGUAGGGCGUGAAAUCUCCCGGCCUAACUGGGAGGGGUCGCCCCUAGACUGGCGGACUUGAGGCUGGCAGAGGUAGGUGGAAUUCCUGGUGUAGUGGUGAAAUGCGUAGAGAUCAGGAGGAACACCGGUGGCGAAGGCGGCCUACUGGGCCAGCACUGACGCUGGAGGCGCGGAAAGCUCGGGGAGCAAACAGG
rnacentral:rRNA from 1 species